ACUUAGUGGCAGACGGGUGAGUAACAUGUGGGUAUCUACCCUUUGGCCUGGAAUAACACGAGGAAACUUGUGCUAAUACCGGAUAAGUCUUUACGGAGAAAGCUUUAUGCACCAUUGGAUGAGCCCGCACUUGAUUAGUUUGUUGGUAGGGUAAUGGCCUACCAAGACUAUGAUCAAUAGCUGAUUUGAGAGGAUGAUCAGCCACAUUGGGACUGAGACACGGCCCAAACUCCUACGGGAGGCAGCAGUGGGGAAUCUUGCACAAUGGAGGAAACUCUGAUGCAGCGAUGCCGCGUGAGUGAAGAAGGCCUUUGGGUUGUAAAGCUCUUUCGUCGGGGAAGAAAAUGACUGUACCCGAAUAAGAAGGUCCGGCUAACUUCGUGCCAGCAGCCGCGGUAAUACGAAGGGACCUAGCGUAGUUCGGAAUUACCGGGCUUAAAGAGUUCGUAGGUGGUUGAAAAAGUUGGUGGUGAAAUCCCAGAGCUUAACUCUGGAACUGCCAU
rnacentral:rRNA from 1 species